rnacentral:lncRNA from 1 species
AAAAACUCAUCUCUCUCAAACCCCUCUCAACUUUAGCCGCCGAGCCAUCACCGAAAAUCGUCUCUGCCGGUGGUUUAGCUCCAAAUCGCCCUGAAUUCUCACUAGAUAGUCAUCACCAUUCCCUCAUCCCUAAUCCACUGACCAUUUCUUCCAAAACCCAUCCAAAAUUCAUGAUUUUUGGAUCAGAAAUUCAAGGAAAAUCCAAAAUCGCCUUUUUCUCUUUAAUAUUUACCCGUUUAAAGGUUAAUGUUACACAAAAAGUCCAUAACGUUGACCAUUGACAUUUCGUGGUAGCUUCACUUUAUCUCAAGGCCUGGAACCCAGUCAACAUCACCGUUUACUCUCAUCUCGCCUUGCUCUCCCUUUUCCGGCCAGCAGGAUAUAUUGUCACACACAACACUGACUUACAUGGAGAAUUGGCUAGUGUUCGUGUGACAAUUUCUUUGGCUCGCUGGGGUUCUGCAUUUGAUCUCUUGAUUUGCUAGAUUUUGACGCAAUAGGUAUACCUCUCCUCUUUGUUCCUUUUUAGUUUCAAUUUGUUUCUUCAUAUUCAUCUCCCUCUUCUUCUUUUAUUUUGAUUUUAGUUAUUCUUUUUUUUUCUUAUUUCUGUUUAGGAAUUAGAUGUUUGAGUUGCUUUGCAUUAAUUUUUAUUUAUUUAUUUUAUAUAGCAGAUUCUAAUACUUAAAAAAUCUAGUCGAUUAGUAUGUGUUUUGUAUGUCUAUCUAAUAGUUCAGUUAUUGUUAAUUAGUUUAAUUGCAUGAGCUGUUAGUUUAAUCAAUUGUGAGUAAAUUAGAUGUUAAAAUAAGUUAUUUUGCACUUUUGCUUUGUUCUGAUCCGUAUGUUCCUAGCUAGGGUUCCCUUGUGUUUACCAAAGUUUAAGGGGGCAUUUGGGAAUUAGAAUUGAGUAGAAUCUUUUUCUUUUAACAACGGGAGAAUUCUAGAAUAGAGAUACGGGACCAAAAUGCAAUAAGAUGAGGAAGUUAGGUUAAAUUUGGGUUAAAAGGGGUCAAUUUGAGAAGUUAAGGGAGUAGAAGAAUAGGAAGGAAUUUUUGAAAUUGGACAGCUGUCCAUUUCAGUUGCAAAAGAUGCCAAUUCCCUGAAUUUUAGGGAAGUUGGCAGAAUAUUCCCACACCCCCUCUCCCUCACACAUAACACAUUCUCACAUUCUAUAAAAGGACUCCAACUCUUAUUUCACCAGACACAUUAUUUUCUACAUAUUCACUCACUCAAAAGAACAUUGAUAGAAACUGAAAUUUAAAAGAAAAGUUCUUAGUAUUCAACUUCAAAAAAAACAAAAAAACAAAACAAAAAAGGAGAUACAAAGUUGUUUUCAAAUUCUAGCAUAUUUGAUUGAUAUUUUGUGGGAUCUCAAAGGACUUUCAAGCUGUUAGGAUUGCUGUUUUUGCUGGGUUGAAAUCUGUUGCCUCUGCUCGCUGAACUUGACAUCAUCUCUUCUUCAUUUUUUCUUCCUUAACUGAUUCAUCUCAGAGCCUUUAUUUGGUUAUAUUAGAUUGUUGCCGCCUUUAGGUAUGUAAUUGUCCAAAACUGUAAUUCUCUGUUAGAGUUAAAAUAAAAACUGAGCUGUUAUGAUUUGUUUGUGUUUGGCUCUAUAGAUUAUGCAUGAUUUAGAUUUAAAGUGAAAGCUAAUAUGUUAUGUUUUGCUCAUAUUUAGUUGUAUUGGUUCAACAUAUUUUAGGUUUCAAAGUUGCUUGGAAUUCUUUUUCUGUUAAUUUGUGGUAUGACUGUAUAGUUAGAUAAAAACUCAAACUGCUGAAUGCUUGUUGGUAGUUCAUCACUUGAUGUUAGCGUGCUAUUCUUUAAAUUAAUAGUUUUUAUUUGAAGUGACAUUAGCAGUGACAAAUAUAUGUCUAAUUUGGUUGUUUCUUUGAUUGGUGGUUGUGUGCUACGACACUGAUUUGCAAAGCAAGCCCAAUGGCUAUGUUUACCUCGAAAAUAUGAGUAACAAUUAAAUUUGUUUUGUGGUUUUAAAGAUACGUGAUUAGAUUCAAUACCAAUUAAUAAUCAAGAAAUAUGAAGUAGAAAUGAAAGAAAUAAGUGAAUCAAACCAAUAUAAUUCAGUAGCAGUGACCUCGAACUUAGUGACCUCAAGGUGGGUUUAGAACAAUAAGAAUAGUUAAGCAAGAAAAGUAAAGUAAGAGCAGCAAAGCUAAAGGACAAUUCUAAUGAACAGUAGGCAAAAAGUAGAGAGUAUAUCUUUGCUUUAAUGAUUAGAUGGUCUUAUAAAUGAUUGGGGUCCCAUUUAUAUAAUAGGGGAACCCUAAAUAAGGUAUAUUUCUAUUUACAGUAAGGAAUAUUCUUCGUACAACUGUCUAACUGCCUAGUACAGAAUUGUAUGAUCCUAUUUCGAGUUUUGCGCCAUGAUUUUAGGAACGUGGCAGGAAUCUAGUUCAUUCUGUUGUAAAUCCAUAACGGUACUAUUUCGGGGUCGAGCAUACUAAGCCUUGGUACUCCUUGUACUCCUAUCUCUCGAGCAUUGCACUCUGUCUUUGAGCUCGAAUCUAGUCCACCGGGUUCGAAUCGACCUUGCCCGGACUUGGGCCUAGGAUGGACCUUCGAGCCUAUAAAUUGGAGGCCUCUGAUUUUAACCGUAUACAGAUAGUCCCCGCAUUUCUUAGAGUAGGUUGAUAAGAAAUGUAUUGAUCUUCGACACCUCGAUCCUGAUUCCAAUCUCGUGAUGUCAGUUGCUGAAGUGACUGAGAGGUUGCUUUUCGUACGAUUUCAAAGUCAUUAAUUGAAAGCAACUGGCGGUCGGCUUUUUAUCUUCCCCAGUAUGCUUAAAUUACCUCUAUAAAUAGAUCAACUUCACAAUCUUACAAACUUUAUUCUCACGUUGCUCUCAAAAUCUUAUUAGCUCUUUCAACUUCCCUGAAUUCUCCUUUCUCUUCUAUUUACUCUUACUUCAUCAUCAACCUUCUCUAUUUUUUUGAAUUUUUGCAUUACAAUGGCUAAGACAUCCAAAUCGGUUCCCCAAAAAUAAAAAGCUUCUUUAUCUUCUCAACUGACCAAGAGUAAAGCGGUAGUGCCUCCUCGUACUGAGGAGUGCAUUCCUCUACCGUGUGAAAUAACAUCCGAUUUCAAGAUCGAGAAACCUGUAUCAACACCAGGCCGAUGCGAGUCCAUGUCUCAAUAUGUCUGUUUGAUAACUGAGGACGAGCUCGAGCAAGUAAAGAAGAACUGCAAGUAGGAGAACAAAGACGUAGUGAUCCCUUCCCCCGAGGAGGAUAUCACUACAUAUAAAGCAAGGUACUUAAGCGUGUAUACUUACCCAUUCACACUGGGCCCUGCAAAUCCCACUCUGGGUCCCACAGAUCCAGUUAUUCUUGACUUUUGCCAACAAUACCAAGUGACACUUGGCCAAAUCUGCCUUUCAUUUUGGCGAAUCAUUCAUUUGAUAAGAUUCUUCUCAAACCAGAUCGAGGAUAUGCCUUUCACCCUCGACCAUCUGAUCAGGCUGUAUAGUCCUCGGCUUUAGCAAGGUGGCUUGAUAAAAUUACAACGUUGAUCCUCAAAAUCUCUCUUCUCCAAC